GUGAAUCCACGGAGGGGAGGGGAGAGAGGUCUUCACAGUCAGGGGGAGGGAACAGGGAUGGACACUGGACAGGGACGCUGCUGUAUGUCUCUAGCUUGACUUGCAGCAGGAGGAGCAAGGAGGAGAGGGAAGGGCCCUCGGCUCAUACAAAAAAUCCUCACAGUGAAGAGCUUUUGCCGGCGCUGCUGCUGCCUGUCAGUGUGUGACAGCACUGCGCAUCAGCAAGUCUGCAGAGCGGGGAGCGCCUCUCUUGCCCAGCGCCUCCCUGCUUUGCAGACCUUGCUGAGCGGGUAGCGCCGGGCCUGACGCCGCCAGGGCUAUUUAAUAGUGUAGUGUAUUUUUUCUGUAGCUGGUGCUUUUUCUCUUCUCCUUUUCACAGUGUGUGACAUGGGGAAAGGAGCUGUGCCGACUGAACUCAGGAAUCAAAGGCAUUGGCGGACUGAAUGAAAAGGAGACCGCAGAAGACAUGAAACUGGUGGCUGUGGUGACAGCAGCCACUGGUACCAAGCAGACCGCCAAAGGAAGAGCUCAGCUGCCGUGAUUGAACUCUGAUGUACAGUAGCAUAGGUUAUUUUGAAAACAGAACAGAGAUCACAUGAUGCCCGGUUCUGUAAUGUGAGCAAUCCAUCAGAAAUGGUUCCCCUUUUUCUUCGCAUUAUCCCCCUACCUCCACUUACCUUUAUAGUAGGAAGGUGGGGUUGGCGUCCUCUCCUCCUUGUGCUGGAAAUUUGUGUCAGAUUCUGUAUUUGUUGUGAGCUUAGCAUUGGGGCCACUGAGGAGUGUUGGUGAGACUUGGGGUAUAUGAAGCUAGCUGCAGGGAUGACACUCUCUCAUUAGUUUGAACACAUAGGAUUCUGGAGCAAAAUACACCCAAGCCAAGGACACUUGAGGAUAUGGUGCUUAUGAUACAUGUGGAAUAACAGGAUACACUCUGGGACAUGCAACCUCUGCAGGGAGAGCAGGUCAGCCUCUCAAAGAAGAAGUCAGUCCAGGGCUGAAUGACACAUUUAUUGGUGAAGAGUGUCACCACACCUGCUGCAUCAUGCCACAAAUUUCAGCACUGUGUUGGAUUUGGGGCUGACAUGACCUGAUUCACGGCACAACGCAUCCACAUCCCACCUGGGCUACCGCUCCGAUUGUUUCAACUCACUGACUACUUUAAUGCAUACAUACCUGCUGACUCUCCCUGAUGUUGGGACAGAAAGAAAAGUGAUGGGCACAAUCAAGCAUUAUAUGACAAUGAGCAGAGUAUGACAACACUGUCCCACCCACCCAUUACUUCAUACAGCUCCCAUCUACAUGCGGUGGUGGGAGGUGACUCUCUGAAAAGUUGCUUUAAUGUUUUUGAAUAUUUUAUUAAUGAAAAAUGGUAACCACCUAUAAGUUUAUGAUUGUUCAUUUUUGAAUGCAUGGUUAACAAGAUAUGUCAAUU